GAUUACAAACUUCCAACAGUGUUACUUUCUAGGUAAUAAAUUCCUAAAGAAACAACAGAACAGCAAGUAAUAUAACUUUCAAUCAAAGCAAGCACUAGAUGAUAAGAGCAUUACAAAGAUGUAAUUGAAUGCUCUGAUAACUUAAACAAAAAUUAAUGCAUGGACAAAAAUUUAUGUACCAUAUAGGUUAAUAGAAAUGAGUGAUACCAGAAAGAACAAAUUUGACAACCUUGGGGCAUUCUUUCCAUCCACAGCGUUGUUUGAAAGGUCAUCCAUAAGA
rnacentral:misc_RNA from 1 species